UUUUUUACCUUUUCAUUGAUACUACCAGAAAAGGGAAAAAAUAAAUACUGUUUGAUUUUGCCACCAGGCACCACAAAACUGCGCCCCUGCCUGAUUUCAUUUCAGCAAGCUUUACUGUGAAGUGUUUAUGUGCCAGGUACCAUGUGUAGAAGCGCUGGCCCAGAGAUGAAGAUGAAGUUUCUAUCCUUAAGGCAUGCAAUGUGGGAGAUGAACAGGGGACUGCAGGGACAGGCAAGAGAGCCACAGAAGAGAAAGUGAUGUGAAGACAGAAGCAGGGAUUGGAGUGAUCCAUCUACAAGCCAAGAAAUACCAAUGGUUGCUGCCAGCCACUGGAACAGAUUUUCCCUUAGAGCUUCCAGAAAGAACUAACCCUGUCAACACUGUGAUUCUGGACAGUGGAAGAAUGUACACUGGGAACAGCACAUGCAAAAGUCCUGGGCAGAAGCUGGUCUGGAGGAUUUGAGGAACUGCAAGGAAGCAGCGAUGACUAGAGAGGCAUGAGGGAAAAAAAAGGCAGUAAAUGAGGUCAUGAAGAUGA
rnacentral:lncRNA from 10 species